rnacentral:tRNA from 2 species
AGAGAGGUGCUCGAGUGGUUUAAGAGGUACGCCUGGAAAGCGUAUAUACCGCAAGGUAUCGAGAGUUCGAAUCUCUUCCUCUCUG